rnacentral:lncRNA from 1 species
UGUCCUCUUGGGGCUAUGCAGAAAUGUUCAUGUUGAUGAAACAAGCUGUCCUAGAAUGGCAGUUCCCGGGCAGCAGAGCCUGGGCUCAAGGAAGGUGGAAAGAUGGGGUGGCGAGGAGCUGCCAGGUGCAAAUGUCAGGCCAGCAAUGCAGUCCAGCUUGCAUGGACGUGCAUCACCUAGGAAGUUGUGACUUGGCUGCAGUUUCCACUUCAGGCUACAGAGUGCAGUGGCACCAGCACAGAGCUCUGCUCAACGUUCCUCUGUGCUUUCACGAUGCUGAUGGAUUAUGAAG